GCUGGGCAUGGUGGCGCAUGCCUGUAAUCCCAGCUUCUUGCGAGGCUGAGGCAGGAGAAUCGCUUGAACCCAGGAGGCGGAGGUUGCAGUCAACCAAGAUUGCACCAUUGUACUCCAGCCUAGGGCUGGCAUUCAUGGGCACUGUGUGAGGUUUUUUUUUUUUUUUUGAGACAGUUUCACUCUUGUUGCCCAGACCAGAGUGCAAUGGCACGAUCUCGGCUCACUGCAACCUCCGCCUCCCGGGUUCAAGCGAUUCUCCUGCCUCAGU
rnacentral:sRNA from 13 species